GACGAACGCUGGCGGCGCGCUUAACACAUGCAAGUCGAACGGAAAGGCCCUGCUUUUGUGGGGUGCUCGAGUGGCGAACGGGUGAGUAACACGUGAGUAACCUGCCCUUGACUUUGGGAUAACUUCAGGAAACUGGGGCUAAUACCGGAUAGGAGCUCCUGCUGCAUGGUGGGGGUUGGAAAGUUUCGGCGGUUGGGGCUGGACUCGCGGCUUAUCAGCUUGUUGGUGGGGUAGUGGCUUACCAAGGCUUUGACGGGUAGCCGGCCUGGGAGGGUGACCGGCCACAUUGGGACUGAGAUACGGCCCAGACUCCUACGGGAGGCAGCAGUGGGGAAUAUUGCACAAUGGGCGGAAGCCUGAUGCAGCAACGCCGCGUGCGGGAUGACGGCCUUCGGGUUGUAAACCGCUUUCGCCUGUGACGAAGCGUGAGUGACGGUAAUGGGUAAAGAAGCACCGGCUAACUACGUG
rnacentral:rRNA from 1 species